UGCGUGUAAUGGAAGAACCACUACCUCGCCGGACGGCAUGAAAUCGCUCUUCAACUCCGAUUCCGACUGUGUAAAAGCCAGCCUCGGCGUCAAUCUGAUAAUGAAGCGCUUUCACAAUCACUUCCGCCGCGUAUUCUAACCGUCUCGCCGGCCAUCGGCUAUCCAUAUUCGAGAUUGCGGUGGCGAAUUUUCUGUACCGUAUUUGCUUCUCCUUCACCAGAGAAGGCUGCUUGAUUCGCUGCAGAGAUUGUCUGGAAGGAGGAGGAGAUUUCACGAUUGGUUGGAUCGAUUUCUUCUGAAUCGUGAUUCUGUCCCAAAGAUCCAUAACUUCUCUGCCACAAAGAAACUUGGAUCCUCCUUCGAUGCCAUUGAUGCAAAGCAAAUGCCCGAAGCCAUUGCAGUGAAUCAAGCCAUGGAGAAGAUGAGUCUGAUCAUCAAGAUCAAAUCCAUCAUCUAAACGUUUAUUCCACCGAUCAUCCAAAGGAUUCAAGGAUUGAAAUCGACAUCGGUGAAGAUGAACUUCAGUUCUUCUUCUUGGAUUUGGGGGCUUCUUCUUCGAGUUCUUUCAUGUUAACUGAGAGAGUGAAUCGUGAAGUUUGUUGGAGAUUCGCCGGUAACUUACUAGAAUGACGAGCGGUCAUGGAGCUGCAUCCCUACUCAUCUGGUCCAACUGAAAGCCUCUUUUUAGGUCGGGGAUCCUUUACUUCGAUAGCAUCUAGGCUUCUUUACAGUUGUGUGUAAUAUAAUAGUAAUAAGGGCUCUGAGUUCAGUUGUUAGCUAGAGUGUCUGUCUUUACUCCUAUAGACUUAAGAGAGUAGGCCUUACUGAAGCUCAUAGACCUCCAUUUGCCUAGUCCUAUCCUUAAUAGAUAACUUCCGCUUUA